CCUACGGGGGGCAGUAGUGGGGAAUAUUGGACAAUGGGCGAAAGCCUGAUCCAGCCAUGCCGCGUGUGUGAAGAAGGCCUUCGGGUUGUAAAGCACUUUCAGUGGGGAAGAAAGCCUUGGGGCUAAUACCCUCGAGGAAGGACAUCACCCACAGAAGAAGCACCGGCUAACUCCGUGCCAGCAGCCGCGGUAAUACGGAGGGUGCGAGCGUUAAUCGGAAUUACUGGGCGUAAAGCGCGCGUAGGCGGUCUGAUAAGCCGGUUGUGAAAGCCCCGGGCUCAACCUGGGAACGGCAUCCGGAACUGUCAGGCUAGAGUGCAGGAGAGGAAGGUAGAAUUCCCGGUGUAGCGGUGAAAUGCGUAGAGAUCGGGAGGAAUACCAGUGGCGAAGGCGGUCUUCUGGACUGACACUGACGCUGAGGUGCGAAAGCGUGGGUAGCAAACAGGAUUAGAUACCCGGGUAGUC
rnacentral:rRNA from 1 species